UUGAAUAUCUAUUCAAAUAUUCCAAACAAAAGAUACUAAAAGGCUAUUCUGUUACCUGCCACAAUAAAAAUAAAUUUCCUUCCAACUUAAUGCAAUUACAAGUGAUUUCCUGUAAAAGGAAAAAUAAACCUUCAGGAUAUUUUGCAGAAUAUUUUACUUACUUGCAAGAAAAGUCACAUCCUUUUGUUUUUAUCCCCCUCCUUACUUUAGUGGCUUGUUUAACCUCUUUUAACAUGUAAAUAUUAUUAAAUACUAUUUAAUAUUCAUUAUAGGGCUCCAAACACCGGUUGGUCUUAAAUAGAUAUGGUUUUAUUCAUUCUCCUUUCAGCUGAAUUGUGUGUGCAAUCAAAGAAUAAUCAGCUAGAGUCAUGACUGAGAUUUUGAAUUUAUGACCACCGAGGUAGAAAAGAGCUGUUUCUUCUGGAGAAUUGACAGAAGUGACCAUGCCAAGGCUUUUUUGGGGAAAGUCAUUCCAUUUAACAGCCUUGAAUUUUGGUCAACUAAAUGGACGUGCCACGAAUGGACUGCAUGAGUGACAUUAGAAGACCAAGUAAAUACGUCUGAAGCAGAGUGCUGUGCAUGGAAUUGGGACAGGAACACUUCGCUGUUUGGUGUCACUUGAGCCCUGGAUCUCAUCUGUGGCUGUGGCAGAGCGACAGGAAAACAAAGAGAGAAUUCUGGCUGGCUGGGCUGGUGUGAAGAUCCCUGCCAUGGGGCUGAGCUGAAGGUGUGCAAGGAGAAGGGAGCAGGAGCAGAGUGAGAAGCCAGCUGUGAACAGCACUGCUCUCUUCUGCUGCUGAACGAGCUCUUCUAGAAAAUGUCAAAGAACAUCCUCAUCAUCCAAAACCAUUUUUAAAAUGAUUGCUAAUAUGGCUCAAUUAUGCUUUCUUUCCCUGCACCCAUGUGUUUAAAUGUGAAAGAAAAUGGUGAGAGUGACUGCUAAAGAUGCCUGAUAGUGCAUAUUUGCUUGGAAGUAUAUUUUCAUAUCAAGCAAAUGUCAGUGCAAACACCUGCAAUCUGCAUUGCUUGUAACUGUAAGAAACAAAUGCAAGUUGGUUCACCACCACCAUUCUGAAUAAAGCUCCUGCUGCUCUGUG